CCUGGGGUGGGGGCCACCCUGAGAAGGGGCUGCUCCCCCUCCACUCCUCCCUGGGGGGCUGUGGCUGGGCCAAUGCAGCAGGGCCUGGUCUGACCCUGGGGGACAGAGAGCUGCCCCCGGGGCAGAGCCAGGCGGCAGCGUGGCCGGACAGUAGAGCCUCAGAGCCCUGCAUCUCUCCCCCAAGGGCCUUAACGCGGCCGCGAUCGGCUUUACAUGGCAUCUGGAAGAAGAGGAUCCCCCUCUCUUGUGCCCCGGGGGGCUUGCCCUGGUGCCCAGCUCUCCAGGUCAUCGCCAGCACCCGGCUGUAAUGCUUUCCAGGGGAUCUGGUGGCGUGGGCAGGGUCCAGAAAGCACACGUGGCCUCAUGAACUGGAGAAGAUGGGAAGAGUUCCACAUGAGUGGAAAUGUGCAGUAAUUCCACUGGCUUUACUGGACUCCUUGAAGUCUGUGGAGUGACUUUCAGACUUGUGCUGGCAGAAGAGAUCAGAAUUCAUCCAUUUGUCUCAGAUCCUAAUGGGACAUUUGAAGAGAAAACAGGAGGGAAGGAAGAGCUACGUUAAUCAUAAAUGUUCACAAGCCAGGUGUGUUGGCCUAAUGGAUUUCCCAACAAGUGAUGUUUCAGGAUUUAUGGUAUUGCUUUAAGAACGGCUGUCUCCACUGAAAACAACUCCUUCCCAGGAAACCAGGCUGAUAUUUACAGGAUUUUAUUUUCUUUUUUUGUAUAUCAUCAUGAUAAAUGAUUUCAUGAAUGGCAUCUCUCUAAGAAAAA